CACAAGCGGAGGAGCAUGUGGUUUAAUUCGAUGAUACGCGAGGAACCUUACCUGGGCUCGAACGUAAGAUGACUGUAGGUGAAAGCUUACAUCUCUUCGGAGCAUUUUACGAGGUGCUGUAUGGUUGUCGUCAGCUCGUGCCGUGAGGUGUCGGGUUAAGUCCCAUAACGAGCGCAACCCCUACCUUUAGUUGCCAUCAGGUUAAGCUGGGGACUCUAAAGGAACUGCCUACGCAAGUAGUGAGGAAGGCGGGGAUGACGUCAAAUCAGCACGGCCCUUACGUCCAGGGCUACACACGUGCUACAAUGGCCGAUACAGAGGGCAGCUACCUGGUGACAGGAUGCAAAUCUCCAAAGUCGGUCUCAGUUCGGAUCGGAGUCUGCAACCCGACUCCGUGAAGUUGGAUUCGCUAGUAAUCGCGCAUCAGCCAUGGCGCGGUGAAUACGUUCCCGGGCCUU
rnacentral:rRNA from 1 species